UGAGUUUACACACAGGUUCAGUUUUCUGCACGUUUGGAAGAUGACACGCGCUACUACACAUCCAAAGAAACUCUUCAGAAUGUUCUGGAAAGUGGGAGGAGUUUACAUUUACCUCAGAAGAAGACUGUGGGGCUUUGACGACGAACGGGAGCAUUUUGAAGAGAGAAUAGAUCCAACGGAGGACACACUGGAUUGAAAGGGCUCUGGGGUGUUUUGCCAGGCAGAAGCGUGGAGAGCAGCCCGCCUUGCCACCUCUGCUACUGCCAUGGUGCGGAAUCUGCUGCUGGGCACCUUCGACUUGGAGACUUUGCUGCAACCUGAAUGGUGAAAAGCCAACCAGAGAGGAUGGGGAGCAGCUGGUCGCGUUUAUUAGGCUUUGGAGACUGCAUAAGGUAGGGCACCCAUUAUUGUUACUGUAUCUGCUUGGGACCUAUAUACUAAUUCAUCGCUUGCUCACUUCUUAAUCCUACCUUUCCUUUAAAGCCACAUCUCUGGUGUAUUGCGCUAUAAGGUGUGUAGUCCUCUAUUUUGUAGAACAUAUAGUGUAGCAAAUAAC